rnacentral:rRNA from 1 species
GUUAGGAAUUUUGGACAAUGGGCGCAAGCCUGAUCCAGCAAUGCCGCGUGCAGGAAGAAGGCCUUCGGGUUGUAAACUGCUUUUGUACGGAACGAAACGGUCCUGGUUAAUACCUGGGGCUAAUGACGGUACCGUAAGAAUAAGCACCGGCUAACUACGUGCCAGCAGCCGCGGUAAUACGUAGGGUGCAAGCGUUAAUCGGAAUUACUGGGCGUAAAGCGUGCGCAGGCGGUUUUGUAAGACAGGCGUGAAAUCCCCGGGCUCAACCUGGGAAUUGCGCUUGUGACUGCAAGGCUGGAGUGCGGCAGAGGGGGAUGGAAUUCCGCGUGUAGCAGUGAAAUGCGUAGAUAUGCGGAGGAACACCGAUGGCGAAGGCAAUCCCCUGGGCCUGCACUGACGCUCAUGCACGAAAGCGUGGGGAGCAAACAGGAUUAGAAACCCCGGUAGUCC